CUUAGCCAGGCAGCUCGCUGGCACGGGCACAGCACGCAGCACGCAGGACAGCUAACACUCUGCGGCGCCCACUCUCCCCUCUUGCUAUUCGCUAACACCUUUAUUGCCUCCAGUUAGUCACAGCACUCUCAUUCCCAUCUGUCGAGGAGAGCUUCCUUCCAACAUCCUGCCCUCCUUUUCUUCUCCAGCAAAGAGACUCUCCCAGUGUCGUGGAGGAGAUCAUCAUAGCAGAAACAAAGCCACCUAGCUAGAGGCUGUAUUUACUUGUUGUCUCUCCAGAAAGCUGUGUCACAGGACGAUGGGUGAAGAUACGUCUCUAUUGUUGAAGGUACCAUACACUCAGACAGGAUAUAGAAAAUCUGAACUGGAUCUGACCCGAAAGCCUCUUCCCUAAGGACUAGUUUGCAUAUCACCAAAAGAUGCUAUGAAAACUGCCAAAGGAGGGAAACAGUCAAAAGAGGCUUCUUGUUUAUGUGGUGUGCCCAGCCCAGGGAAAACAUCUGCAACACAAUUCAGGUACCCCUGGCCGAAGGAUCAUCUUGGAAGAGGAGUAGUGGGGAUUGUAAGAGCCAGAGGCCAAAGAAAUCUGCUGUGAUAUUAGUCUCCUAGUGUAAUGACCAGUCCCCCAUUUUAGCAGCCAUGACAGGCUACCUUGCUGCUCCUGUCCUGGUACUAGGAGAUCAGAUGCCCUCCUUGUGGCAAGAAGCCAAUCAGAAGUUAGCUAGUGGAGCUGUGCUUUACAGCUCUGGGUGUGCUUUAUGGACAAGUGCACAAUAGUGACCAGUGAAGUGCAGAGCGUAGCAACCACCCUGGGAGGGCGGGCCAUAACAGCCAGUUGACCAAUCAACACAGAGCAUUUGUCCAAGCCUAGAAGUGCACCAAUCAUGAGACUGUUUUAUACCCCUAGACACUCCCCUUAUGAUGCUCUUUAAGAUCCCUGCCUCGAGGUUGCUUGGGGUCUUUCUCCAGCCA